AUGAAUAAAGUCACUGCAGUCUUGAGCUUAUUAUAACUUGUCAGUUCAGACUUCAGACAGAACCCGGGUCUAGCUUUAGCCUGAAACUUGGUGAAAUACCAACAACUUCACAAUCAGAUGUGUCACCAACCAAGUUUACCAGCUACCAAUUCUCUAUGGUGAGCUGAAAAAAAACACUCCACAGAACUCGUAUAUUCUGGUCUUCUUUACCUUCCUAUUUCAACCAAGUACUAGAUGAGCCGAUUGAAGCCUUGCUCGUUGAUCAAAAUCGCAGCUUUUGGCCCAGCUGGGUCUGUACAGGAGCAAGGAGGAGGCCGCCAGGCAAGAAGAGGUGCUGGGGAAGCUUGACAAGAUUGUGAAAGAGUGGGUUAAGGAGUUGGCUAUUCAGAGAGGCCAAGUCAACGCAAAUGUCGUGCUUUUCACCUUCGGGUCAUACCAUCUAGGGGACAACAAGUUCAUCUGUGGCAGCUAUCACUGUGAGCAGUCCGUCUG